UACAAGUCGUAACAAGGUAUCCGUAGGUGAACCUGCGGAUGGAUCAUUACCAAAGGAUUAACUUCCUACGUACUGUGAACUGUUUUGACUGUGACAGUCAGUGCUCUGUGGCCCUUCGUGGACGCUGGUGCUGGCUGUACAACUUGACACGUAUGUUUCCAAUUCAGACUGAAUUACUGCUUUAGUACACUAAACUAAAGACAACUUUUAGCAAUGGAUCUCUUGGUUCUCG
rnacentral:misc_RNA from 1 species